AUAUCUUGAUAUUUGAGGGAACCUUAAUGUGGGCAUAAAAGAAAUUUACCGCAAAAAUAAACUUGAUCUAUAAAUUACUUGGCUGAAGUAAAUUUAAAUUUAAUUCAAAACAAAACACCUUCCUGAUAUGGCAAUGUAUAUAUUCUCCAUCCGCACUUCUAAUCAACUUUUCUAAGAAAAAGGAGCGUCUUUGGAGAAGUGAAGUCAAAACGUGCAAGUCACUCGGCUGCAGCUUCUCUUGGAUGUCGCAGUGUUCCCGUGCACCCUAUCUUGAACGUAUCAGAACUAAUCGUCAUGGGUCCCACUCGACCAUUUAGUUGCUGCCUCAUCUGUGAAAUUCAAAUGGAGACUUAAAGCCCGCUACGCCAGCCGCCCCGGAGACUGUUGACUUACACCUGCUUCUGUGACACUCCAUGUGAACCGCCCUCCGCCAAGGCUGAUCUCCAAUUCGUACACCGUGACGUGACUCGUACGUCAUCAAUCAUUCAUAUCGUGAUUGGCACUUCGUUGAACGAAGUUGGCGGGACCUGCACGUUCUCCGACAUCUUUACGCUUUUCUUCACGAGACGCAAUUAAGAGACGCAAACAACGGCCUGAAAUCCUUGAAUAAACUUAUUCAUUUUGA